CAGCCGCGUAAUUCCAGCUCCAAUAGCGUAUAUUAAAGUUGUUGCAGUUAAAAAGCUCGUAGUUGAAUUUCGGGAUCAAUUUAUUGGUCGUGCUAUUGUACGUACUGGUAUUAUUGAUUCCUACCUUCUGACGAACCAUGAUGUCAUUAAUUUGGUGUCAUGGGGAAUCAGGACUGUUACUUUGAAAAAAUUAGAGUGUUUAAAGCAGGCUCACGCUUGAAUACAUUAGCAUGGAAUAACGAAAUAGGACGUUUGAUUCUAUUUUGUUGGUUUCUAGGAUCGACGUAAUGAUUAAUAGGGAUAGUUGGGGGCAUUAGUAUUCAAUUGUCAGAGGUGAAAUUCUUGGAUUUAUUGAAGACUAACUACUGCGAAAGCAUUUGCCAAGGAUGUUUUCAUUAAUCAAGAACGAAAGUUAGGGGAUCGAAGACGAUCAGAUACCGUCGUAGUCUUAACCAUAAACUAUGCCGACUAGGGAUCGGAUGAUGUUAAUUUUUUAAUGACUCAUUCGGCGCCUUAC
rnacentral:misc_RNA from 1 species